CUUUCAACAACGGAUCUCUUGGUUCUGGCAUCGAUGAAGAACGCAGCGAAAUGCGAUAAGUAAUGUGAAUUGCAGAAUUCAGUGAAUCAUCGAAUCUUUGAACGCACAUUGCGCCCGCUAGUACUCUAGCGGGCAUGCCUGUUCGAGCGUCAUUUCAACCCUCAAGCCCUGCUUGGUGUUGGGGCCCUACGGCUGCCGUAGGCCCUGAAAGGAAGUGGCGGGCUCGCUACAACUCCGAGCGUAGUAAUUCAUUA
rnacentral:rRNA from 1 species